AGAAUUGAUCUUGGUCAGAACGAACGCUGGCGGCGCGUUUAAGCAUGCAAGUCGAGCGGCAAGGGCCUUCGGGCCCCUAGAGCGGCGGACGGGUGAGUAACACGUGGACAAUCUGCCCCCCGGCCCGGGAUAGCCCAGGGAAACCUGGAUUAAUACCGGAUGAGACGGGACCCGCGAAGGCGGGACCCGGGAAAGGCGCUGCGGCGCCGCCGGGGGAUGAGUCUGCGUCCCAUUAGCUAGACGGCGGGGUAACGGCCCACCGUGGCGACGAUGGGUAGCCGGCCUGAGAGGGUGGACGGCCACAUUGGAACUGAGACACGGUCCAGACUCCUACGGGAGGCAGCAGCUAAGAAUCUUCCGCAAUGGGCGAAAGCCUGAACCGGAGCGACGCCGCGUGAACGAAGAAGGCCGUGGGGUUGUAAAGUUCUUUUCGGGAGGGGAACAACCGUGGCAGGGAAUGGCCGCGGGAUGACGUGAAUCCCGGAAUAAGCCCCGGCUAACUACGUGCCAGCCGCCGC
rnacentral:rRNA from 1 species